rnacentral:tRNA from 1 species
AGCCCCGUGGUGUAGUGGUCAAGCAUAGGCGGCCCUGGCCCGUCUGACCUAGGUUCGAAUCCUGGCGGGGCUACCA